ACAGUACAUCACCUUCAUGAGCGCAUCAGUGAACACCAGUCUAAGGAAGACAUCUCUGAACGUAAUUUUGGAGAUUUUGAUGAGUUCCAUUGAAACAAGGAGGAAUGUGAUGUCCAGUAUCAGUUCUGCAGACCCAAGGACAAAGAAAAUUCUGUGAUAAACUCAUCCAGUGUGACUGUAAUGUGGGUAUCUAUUUGAUACCUCCAAGUAACUGUUUAUUCUUGUGCCAGUUGAGUAGAUGGUACGGGCCAGUUGGUGUUGAUUAGUGAACCACGGACAAAGGGCAUAUGUCACAUGAGUUGCUCCUGGAUAAAGUCACCCAGUCACUUCCUGAUGAAUAUCCUGCAUAAACUCCAAAGACAAAAGAGAGUUAAGGAUACAAGACACCGGACUUUCAAAUCAACAAUUGUUUCAAAAGACUCCUACUGGAUUCCUGCUAGUGAUGGGAGAAAAUUAUCAUUCUGUGAGUUGUCAAUAAAUGUUUAACCACA
rnacentral:lncRNA from 1 species